rnacentral:tRNA from 1 species
CGGCGCGGUGGCCGCCCUGGCCGGGCGUGCCGUUGCCGGCGGUGCGGUGCGGGCGGCGCUGGUAGUCCAGCAGGGUCGCGGUCUGGGUGUCGACC